UGGCCCAGAUCGUUUACCGUGAAAAAAUUAGAGUGUUCAAAGCAGGCAGAUCCAAUUUUCUGCCACCGAAUACAUUAGCAUGGGAUAAUGGAAUAGGACCCUGUCCUCCUAUUUUCAGUUGGUUUUGGCAGCGCGAGGACUAGGGUAAUGAUUAAUAGGGAUAGUUGGGGGCAUUAAUAUUUAAUUGUCAGAGGUGAAAUUCUUGGAUUUAUGAAAGAUUAACUUCUGCGAAAGCAUCUGCCAAGGAUGUUUUCAUUAAUCAAGAACGAAAGUUAGGGGAUCGAAGACGAUCAGAUACCGUCGUAGUCUUAACCAUAAACGAUGCCGACCAGCGAUUAGGAGACGUUGAAUACAAAACACCACCAUCGGCGCGGUCGUCCUUGGCGUCUCGGUCCUUCACGGGGCCGGGGCGCGGGGGCGGCUUAGCCCGGUGGCACCGGUGAAUGACUCCCCUAGCAGCU
rnacentral:rRNA from 1 species